rnacentral:lncRNA from 11 species
CAGACCUCUGGUCCAAUCAGCACAGCUGUAUCUAGACAGACUGGCUGCAGCAGAGUGCUUCCCAGAUCUAUCUGAAGGCUUUGAGUGAACAUGGGACCCUUUUAUCUAAAUCAUGUGUGAGGUGAGAGUGGGAGAGGACUACAGUACACCUUGAUGUCACAAGCAUGCCUCCUCAGAAGCACUUGGACCUCAU